rnacentral:pre_miRNA from 10 species
AAUGCUUAUUAAUCUCUAUCCAGUGAGUUCUGGAAGACUAGUGAUUUUGUUGUUAUAUAUAUCACAGAACAAUAAAUCACAGUUUUCUCCGAUCUCACGUGGGUGCUUGCUACUAACCAGCC